rnacentral:tRNA from 1 species
GUUUCCAUGGUGUAGUGGUUAUCACAUCCGCCUAACACGCGGAAGGUCCCUGGUUCGAUCCCGGGCGGAAACA